rnacentral:misc_RNA from 1 species
AAGUCGUAACAAGGUUUCCGUAGGUGAACCUGCGGAAGGAUCAUUAUAAAAAUUUAACACUUUUUAAAAAUUCUCACUGAAUUCACUCUCAGUGUUGUGAUCUCUGUCAAGCCUUAAGGUGAAGGUCGUAAGACUGAAUCCUUGAGCAAACCCUUUUUUUUAACUUAACCAAAAAAACCCAAUUCAAACCCCAAAAAUGGACUUCCUUUGGUUUUUCUUUUUUUGAAUUUCCGCAAGGAAUGUAAAAAAAUGGAAAAUCAAAGAACUCUCCAAACUUAAAAACAAAACAAAAAACAAAAAACACUCACCGAGUGUAUAAACUAAAAAUUCAUAAAAUGAAAUACAACUCUUAACAAUGGAUAUCUCGGUUCUCGU